ncrna:Ovis aries (sheep) microRNA oar-mir-299 precursor
GAAAUGGUUUACCGUCCCACAUACAUUCUGAAUAUGUAUGUGGGACGGUAAACCACAAAAG